rnacentral:rRNA from 1 species
UACGGAGGAUGCAAGCGUUAUCCGGAAUGAUUGGGCGUAAAGCGUCCGCAGGUGGCGAUGUAAGUCUGCUGUUAAAGAGUGAGGCUCAACCUCAUAAGAGCAGUGGAAACUACAUAGCUAGAGUGCGGUAGGGGCAGAGGGAAUUCCUGGUGUAGCGGUGAAAUGCGUAGAGAUCAGGAAGAACACCGGUGGCGAAAGCGGUGUGCUGGGCCGUAGCUGACGCUGAGGCGCGACAGCGUGGGGAGCAAACAGG